GACUGGGUAGCUCAGUGGUAGAGCACCUGGGACAUGUCCAGGGGGCCUGGGUUCAAUCCCUCGUCUGGUGA